rnacentral:misc_RNA from 1 species
AAAAUACGUCAUCUUUAAUACUUUUUUUUUCAUAACAGUGAACUGUUUAUUGCGAUAUUGCUGUUACAAAUGUUUUCAAGGCUUAAAAGUUGUUGUAUUUAAAUAAAUAUUUAUUUCAAGGGACAAAUUUCAUGGUUAAAAACUAUUUUUAUACAAAAGUGUAUUUUGAUAAUUGCUCAGAAAUUGACAUUAGAAUAUAUUAUUUUGACUAUGAAAUUAUAAAGAAGAGAAAAAGACUUAUAGUUUAUGUUACAAAAAAAAUUACUGUGCCUUUUAAUUUUUAGACAAAGGAAGUAAUGUGGGAAUAUUUUUACGAGGCUUUAAUUCAGAUUCAAAUGUUAUCUAAGUACGAUUGUUACUAUUAACUUUUGACUAUUGAGGUAUAUAUAUAUAUAUAUUGUGUAAUUUUCUGAUGUUUAACUGUAGUUGUUUAAAAGCUGUUAUCUAAUAAAGCAUAUUAAUGUCUCUUGACGG